UACGUAGGGGGCUAGCGUUGUCCGGAAUCAUUGGGCGUAAAGAGCGUGUAGGCGGCCCGGUAAGUCCGCUGUGAAAGUCGGGGGGCUCAACCCUCGAAUGCCGGUGGAUACUGUCGGGCUAGAGUGCGGAAGAGGCGAGUGGAAUUCCUGGUGUAGCGGUGAAAUGCGCAGAUAUCAGGAGGAACACCAAUUGCGAAGGCAGCUCGCUGGGACGUAACUGACGCUGGAGACGCGAAAGCGUGGGGAGCAAACAGG
rnacentral:rRNA from 1 species